GCUAAUCCACAUUAAAUACAUUUACACACACAUUUUAGUUAAUUAAGCUCUUAAUUAAGUACUAACUCAAUUACUCAUAUAACUAUAAUUAUGUAUAUAAGAGAAACUGAGGGACUGAUUACGUACGUAGAGACAUCUACUUUGUAGGGAGGUCCACCAACGUGGUCGGUAAUCUAAUUAAUUAAAAUGCAAAGUAUUAAUCCAUAUACUCUGAUUAUAUAUCACUAGAUUAUGGAACAUUUACACACACAAAAAUGAAAAUUAUUACCGGAUACAUGAGAGUUAUGAGUUCGCCGUCAGGUUUUAAGAGUUCAUACAUGGAUUUAGCCCAUGCAGGUCUCAUCUCCGGUUCAAUAGCACAGAAGAACCUGUUAAUUAAUUAUAUUAGUUCAUUGAAUUUUAAUUUUUUUUUAAUAAUACAACACAUUAUUGUUUCUAACCCAAAUUUUUCUGUUUAUUUACUUAAUGCAAACAUUAAUUACGUUUUUAUAUUUAAUCAACUCACACAUAAUCAAAGAUAAAGUCGAAUAAUUCGUCAGGACGCCAAGUGAAAACAUCUUCCUUCACGAACGAAAAGUACUUUGCCUUUGGUGAAGAGCCGUAAGUCUUUAUGUAAUCAACAUAAUGUAAUUAUUAAUUUUUCUUUAUUUAAAGAGAACGUAAGAAAGUGAAUAUGAUUAAACCAUUUAACCUCAUUAGCUUUCGUGAGGGCGCUUUCGGAAAUAUCCAAUCCAACAACGAAACGUUCGGGGCUUGCCAUCGCAACGACGUCAUGUCCCUAUUCACAUUCAUAACAUAUUUAUGGACAAAGUUAAUUAACAAGCAUUUCAUUUUCACAGUUGUUCAUUAAAGUCACUUAACAUAAAGUAAAUUGGUUCAAUCUAUACUAAGUAGUGAAAUUUAUAAAAGGACAAACUUUGAUGAUUUUAAUUCAGUUAAACUAGUUAGUUUUUUUUUGUAAUAACAAAUAAUAGUUUUUUUUUGUCAAAACAAAUAAUAGGUUUACAUUCAAAUUAAAAAAAAAAAACAAGAAUAAAACCAAAGACCAAACAAAAUAAAUGAAAAAAAAAACUACACCAAAAUUAAACUUCUUAUAAGAAAAUUUAAAUUAUAUUGUGUCUUCAUAAAAAAUAAGAUGUUGAGUCCAAAGCCGUAUCAUGCUAAUUCAAAAUAGAUUCGGUUUCAAUCACGAAAAUCUGAAAUUGUUAUAGUAUAUUUUCUAUAAUUAAAAUUUUCUUUUAAGAAAUCGAAUUCAAACCAUAUAUAUGUAAACCAAAUGGAAAACGAGAGAGAGAGAGAGAGGUAAGAAGAAGACUGACUCCACCACAGCCGGGGACAAGAGCACGGCCAAGUGGGAGUGAGGAAGUGUCGACAAGAUGAACAAUGAGAGGUGUGGCUCUUCCUUGGUCCCAUGGUGUUAUCUCUUCUUCCCAACAUUUUUCCCAUCCACCUGUUUUAUAAUUUUAUUUAGUAAAUUAAUAAUUUUAGUAAUUUUAUUCUUAUUUGGGUGUUGGUUUUGUCUACCUUCCAAAAUAUAAAAAUUUCAGAAUUUUUUGAUCCAUAGAUGAUUAAAAUCACAUAAGUGAUAUGGGUCAAUCUAAUCACUACCAAUUAAAAUUGAGUAGAAAAUUCGUUAAACUUAACAAUAUACAACUUUUAUAUGUUCAGAAAGCAUUUGAUUUUGGUUAAUGUGAAUCAUUUAUCACAAAGGCGAUAUGAGUUUAUGACGAGAUGUUAAUUAUGAGACAAAAAUAUUAAGAGAAGAAUGAAUCACCUUCUUCAACAGUUUUGUGCAGGAACGUAGCAACUUCUUCAGGAGUUGGAAUAACGUUUCCACCAUUGCUCUGACCUGAGUUUUCUUGUUCUUCAGCCAUUUUAUAGUUUUCUCUUUCUCUCUUGUCUUUCUAUAAUGAUUUCCUUAAUUUGAUAUUUUUUUGGGGGUCUUGAAGUUGUGGAAAGCUAUAAGCACAUGAUAUCUAUCUAUAUAGAGGAUAACAAUUGAAUUAUUAUAUUUAACAAAAAAACAAUAAUUGAAUUAAGUGAUUUUGUAUAAAGCUAUAUUUGUGUGUGUUUCACUCUCGACAUGACUUUCUGCUCAUUUGUGUUCUCUUAUUGGAACACGAGCUAUUUAGAUUUAUAGUCCCCAAUCAUUAUGAGACAAUUUUUUUUUUUUUUGAUAAAUAAUGAGAAAAUUUUAAAGAUGAUCAACGGCUUUGUAAUUUUGGUUGAUUAUACGAUUGGUGUUUCAUACAGAAAAAAAGGAAGAUAAAUAAAAUGAUCACUAGCAUAUUUUUAACAUAUUUGACAUUCGAAUAUGUUAAAUGAAGUAUUACUGUAUUUAUAAAACAACUUAUAUAAUACGAAACAAUAUCUUAAUAAUCUCGUUAUCCAUUUCAUCAGAAUUCAGAGACAGAAAUACUAUAUACUAUUAUUUUGAUAUAAUAUCGUAGAUAUAUAAUGUAACACACAUUGCAUUACCAUCUUAUCCAUGGUAUGUGAAAAUCAGAUGCAAGUGGAAUAAGUGGCCCUAGCUAGUUUCACUCAAUUAUUCACCAAUUCCCAAUAAAAUAGUUAGAUUAUUCAUUUUUAGACUAUUUCCUGUUUUUUAGAACUUCUCAGCGUUUCUGCCAAUAAAGUUGUUCUUAGCUCCAAAAAUAUGCCGCUCUGAGGUGACGGACUCACGAGUGAGUGAUCACAAGGGACCACCACACAAUUUAAUAGAAGCAAUAAACCAGAGUACGACCUAACUCCCACUAACGCUGGAUUCAAAGUGAACACGACAUCGUUUCUAAAACACAAAACGACAAUUGUUUACAAGUCUGACUGUGUAACACAUCUCUUUCUCUUUAAGGUGUACCGAUUUCACCAACAAGGUAUAUUGUGGAUGAGAAAUUAGACAUUGCUUCUCAUUAAAUACACACGUUUAUUUUAUUACAAAAUAAAACUUUUCAUUCAUUUAUUUAUUUAGACGUGUAAGUAGUAACAUUCGGUUAUGACUCUAUUAGGAGGACCAAAAAUGUAAUUUUUAUUGGAAUACUUAGACGAGCCAUGAGCCCAUAAGAGUGUGAUGUGAUGGUAAUGGGGAAUAAUCACAUUGACUUCUUCUUCAUAGCUUUCUCCUCCUUACCUUAAACUUGCCGAGCUUGGAAACAGUCAUUCACCAUCAUAUUAAUAGUCUCCGAAUCCAAAACUCAUAGCACCCAAACAAACAUUUGUCUUAAUUAGCAUUGUAUAUCAUUUCCUCGAGCAAUCCCCAUAUCUCAUGUUUCUCCCAAACACGGCUCUUACACACAUCCGAGCUUGUAGAGAAGAAGUCUCUCGGCAUUAAUAGAUCGAGUUAGGGCUUCGUCGACCAAAUUAAAACCUUUCACAAUGAGAGAACUCGAAGCAGAAUUGGCUACUGAUGACUCAUAGAGGUUUAGAGAGAGUUGGUCAAAGAGAGUGGAGUAUAUAUAUAUAUAUAAUUGAAGGAGAAAAGUAUAUAAUUGCAAACUCAUUAACACCAUAAAAAAAUAACACCAAUACUAAAAAAUUAUCUAAAACUAAAUAAAAUGAAUUCGGCGAUGACUAAGUGUCAUCACUUCAUAAUGCAAAAGGAAGGAAUUGGAAUCGGAAUCGGAUUCAGAUCCAUGGAAGGUAAAUACGUUCUCAGACCAUUCCACAACUCCCCGAAGCAACUUGCCCAUCACGGGUAUCUCAAACAAAAUCAUUGCACACCAAAUCUCUGUUUUGCAUUCCUUAGUAUACGUCUUCCACCAAACUGUCACUCUCCUCUCUUUGGCAGGGCUUGCCACCGAAAGAAGAUAAUUAGAAGAAAUUCCUUCAAGUCCCCCAAGCUCCGCACCCCACGGACUAGAGUCAUCACAGCAGAUUAGGUGGAGUUCCCCAUUGGAAACCGUUGCUUGGAAGUCUUGGCAAUCUAUCUGUACCAUGCAAAUAUUCGGACACAAGCUAAGACUGUCCUCAUUCGUAUUGUCAUAAAUUUUUCCACCAAAACAAUUAUUAAGAAACAAAACUCCACACAAAUCAAUACUAGAGUAAAAAACUCUUAUUGGAAAGGAGAAACUUUAUUAAACUUUAUAGUACAAUACACACACACGAAAGAGAGGAACAUGGGACAUAAAAACAAGGGAAGAGAUCGGGACCGUCGUCGUAGACGCUGAUCACCGCCUGAUAAGCAUUCACAUUCGAACACACAUAUUUUACAUAGAGUAUGAUACUCAAUUUAUUCUUGAUAGAUGAGAAGAUUUCACACAUAUAUAACACUGAUCUUACUAAAGAGUAAGAUAUGAUCUCUCUGACUCUCUCUUGAGUCAGUUAAUCUUCUUCCACCUCGCAAGCUUCUCUUUGCCCUGUUUAAUACAUCCGAAGGAAUUAUCAUUUAAAUUAAUUAUAUAAUAAAUCACAUGUUUAUAUAUAUACACCGAUAAAAUAAAAUAUCAGCUUAUAUUUUGAUAUAACGUUAACAUAUAUAUGUCAUCUCGCACAGUACCUUACGAGUGGGAGUGCCGGCCCAAAUAUAUGGACUGCCUAAAGCAAGCCAUAUAAUUGAUGCCCCAAUGAAAAAAAAAAAAUCAUUUUAAAAGAAUGCAUAAUGUGGGUUUUGAACCCCUAACUUGUUAGUAGAGAGAAACCAAGCUUAACAACUAGACUUAUUGAACAAUUUUGUAAAUGAUGCCCCUAAAUUUCUUUAUAACAUCUGAUGCUCUAAAGCCCUAGCUUCAUGAGCUUCUGCCACGAGCCGGGCCUGAGUGGGAAUGGAGUCUGGGUUCUCCUCAAUGGACACUGCUUUAAAUCCUAACGGAACCAACACAUCUUCGUAGCUAAACCUCAUAAGAAAACACACACGCACGAUCAAUAUUUUAGUUAAUAAAGUAUACUACAAUUACGGGUUUUAAUUAGUCAUUAAUUAAUAGUCUAAAACGAUUUUGUAUAUAAGACAUAUUGAGGGGUUAACUACGUACGAAGACAAAGCUACUUUGUAGGGAGCUCCACCCUCGUGGUCGGUCAUCUAAUUAAUAAAAGGGCAAAAUAUUAAUUCAUAUAUACUCUGUGAUUAUAUGGAACAUUCACACGAAAAAAAUAUGAAAUAAUUAAUUACCGGAUACAUCAGAGUUAUGAGUUCUCCGUCAGGUUUCAGGAGUUCAUGCAUGGAUUCACCCCAUGCAGGUCUCAUCUCCGGUUCAAUUGC
rnacentral:lncRNA from 1 species